rnacentral:rRNA from 1 species
CCUACGGGAGGCAGCAGUGGGGAAUAUUGCACAAUGGGCGCAAGCCUGAUGCAGCCAUGCCGCGUGUGUGAAGAAGGCCUUCGGGUUGUAAAGCACUUUCAGCGGGGAGGAAGGCGGUGAGGUUAAUAACCUCAUCGAUUGACGUUACCCGCAGAAGAAGCACCGGCUAACUCCGUGCCAGCAGCCGCGGUAAUACGGAGGGUGCAAGCGUUAAUCGGAAUUACUGGGCGUAAAGCGCACGCAGGCGGUCUGUCAAGUCGGAUGUGAAAUCCCCGGGCUCAACCUGGGAACUGCAUUCGAAACUGGCAGGCUAGAGUCUUGUAGAGGGGGGUAGAAUUCCAGGUGUAGCGGUGAAAUGCGUAGAGAUCUGGAGGAAUACCGGUGGCGAAGGCGGCCCCCUGGACAAAGACUGACGCUCAGGUGCGAAAGCGUGGGGAGCAAACAGGAGUAGAUACCCGAGUAGUC